AAGUCGUAACAAGGUUUCCGUAGGUGAACCUGCGGAAGGAUCAUUGCAAAAAUGAGAUUGUGAGAUUUGUUGGAAUGUGAGGAUAAAAUGUUAGACAAGAUACUUUCAUCAUUUUUUUAUACAACUCUCCACAAUGGAUCUCUGGGCUCUU
rnacentral:misc_RNA from 1 species